UGCCCAUGGAGGAGACUGUGGGCUCAGAAUUGGCGUAUGGCAGAAUCUGUGGGUUUCUCAAAGAUCCACAAGUGGGAAUUAUGGGAUUAUAUGGAAUGGGGGGUGUGGGCAAAACCACCCUCUUGAAGAAAAUCAACAAUGACUUCCUCAUUACAUCCAGCGAUUUUGAUGUUGUAAUUUGGGAUGUAGUGUCAAAACCGCCCAGCAUUGAAAAAAUUCAGGAAGUUAUUUGGAAUAAAUUACAAAUCCCACGUGAUAUAUGGGAAAUUAAAAGCACUAAGGAGCAGAAGGCUGCAGAAAUAUCGAGAGUUCUGAAAACAAAGAAGUUCGUGUUGUUGUUGGAUGACAUUUGGGAGAGACUUGAUCUGCUAGAAAUGGGGGUCCCGCAUCCCGAUGCUCAAAAUAAAUCCAAGAUAAUUUUCACGACCCGGUCACAAGACGUGUGCCACCGAAUGAAAGCUCAGAAGAGCAUAGAAGUGACGUGUUUGUCAUCAGAAGCAGCUUGGACUUUGUUUCAGAAGGAGGUAGGAGAAGAAACAUUGAAGUCUCAUCCACAUAUACCGAGGCUUGCAAAGACUGUUGCUGAAGAGUGCAAAGGUUUACCUCUCGCUUUGAUUACUCUAGGGCGAGCCAUGGUGGCUGAGAAAGAUCCCUCAAAUUGGGACAAGGUAAUACAAGUUUUGAGCAAAUUUCCAGCUAAAAUUUCAGGUAUGGAAGAUGAAUUGUUUCAUAGAUUAAAAGUCAGUUAUGAUAGAUUGUCUGACAAUGCCAUCAAAUCUUGUUUUAUAUAUUGUUCCUUAUUCUCUGAAGAUUGGGAGAUUUCAAAGGAAGUCCUUAUAGAAUAUUGGAUAGGAGAGGGAUUUUUGGGUGAAGUUCAUGACAUACAUGAAGCACGUAAUCAAGGGCAUGAAAUUGUUAAAAAAUUAAAGCAUGCAUGUUUAUUGGAGAGUUGCGGCUCGAGAGAACAAAGGGUUAAGAUGCAUGAUGUGAUCCAUGACAUGGCUUUAUGGUUAUAUUGUGAAUGUGGGGAGAAGAAGAACAAAAUUUUAGUAUACAAUGAUGUUUCUAGGUUGAAGGUAGCUCAAGAAAUUCCAGAAUUGAAAGAGACAGAGAAGAUGUCAUUAUGGGAUCAAAAUGUUGAAGAGUUCCCUAAAACAUUGGUGUGUCCCAAUCUUCAGACUUUAAAUGUAACUGGUGAUAAGUUGAAGAAAUUUCCAAGUGGAUUCUUUCAAUUUAUGCCUCUAAUAAGAGUUUUGGAUUUGUCAAAUAAUGAUAAUUUCAAUGAGUUGCCUACUGGAAUUGGUAAAUUGGGCACCUUGAGAUAUCUUAAUUUGUCAUCCACAAAAAUAAGAGAGUUGCCUAUUGAACUUUCAAAUUUGAAAAACCUAAUGACUUUGCUUUUGGCGGAUAUGGAAUCCUCUGAAUUAAUUAUUCCGCAAGAAUUGAUAUCAAGUCUUAUAUCUUUAAAGUUGUUCAACAUGAGCAAUACCAAUGUCUUAAGUGGAGUUGAAGAAAGCUUGCUAGAUGAGUUGGAGUCCUUGAAUGGCAUCAGUGAGAUAAGUAUCACCAUGUCUACUACUCUUUCAUUCAACAAAUUAAAGACUAGUCACAAAUUGCAAAGGUGCAUAAGUCAAUUCCAGUUGCAUAAAUGUGGAGAUAUGAUCUCACUUGAACUAUCGUCUUCGUUUUUGAAAAAAAUGGAGCAUUUGCAACGGCUUGAUAUAUCUAAUUGCGAUGAAUUAAAAGACAUAGAAAUGAAAGUGGAAGGAGAAGGGACACAAAGUGACGCAACUCUCAGAAACUACAUUGUUGUAAGGGAGAACUACUUUCACACCCUUCGUCACGUAUAUAUUAUUCUUUGUCCAAAAUUGUUGAACAUAACAUGGCUUGUUUGUGCUCCAUAUCUUGAGGAACUUAGCAUUGAAGAUUGUGAAUCAAUAGAACAAUUGAUAUGUUAUGGAGUAGAGGAAAAAUUGGACAUAUUCUCAAGGCUCAAAUACCUCAAGCUCGAUAGGCUGCCAAGAUUGAAGAACAUCUACCAGCAUCCGCUGCUCUUUCCCUCACUUGAAAUCAUCAAGGUGUAUGAUUGCAAACUCUUAAGGAGCCUCCCAUUCGAUUCCAACACUUCAAACAACAAUCUUAAGAAAAUUAAAGGAGAGACAAGCUGGUGGAAUCAGUUGAAAUGGAAAGAUGAAACUAUCAAGGACUCUUUUAUUCCAUAUUUCCAAGUCCAUGAAGCUGAAGCAUAUUUUGCAGAGGAGUCUGAAACUAGCAGCAUAGAUGAUAGGCAAGAACAGCUGAUAUCAAAUUAAUUUCUAUCCAUCUUUCAGGUAUUAAUUAACUUUGAUUUUAUAUUUGAAAAAUAAUCUUCUUUCCUUACUCUCAUUCUUUUGUGGAAAUUUUUACUUUCCCUACCUCAAAAGUGCAUUAAAAUUUCAAACAUCAUAAUAACUUUCAAUGUUUGAUCUGUAUGGAUUACUUCCAUAAUUUUCAGCCUAAUCCUAAUAACUUUCAAUCUAUUUUUUCCCCUUUUAUAUUCUUUCUCUUCUAUGUUGCUUUGAAUCUUGCAAGAUCCAAACAAAGCUAAAUCUACACCCAUUUCUAUAUCAUGGUCCACCCCUUCCAAAAUCUUGGAUGGGUAAUUCAAUUCUAGUUGUCCCUUGUGAAAUAAUUGUUAUAAAAGGUUUGCCCAGAUGGCACUUUGAAAGAGGUCUGUAGUUUAAAAAUGGGAUGACAUUCCCUUUUGGUUACUUGAGAACUUGAAAAUAAUGCAGAUUUUUAAACUAUAUUAUAUAUUUGUCCUAAUUUUUUUAAUCGAUUUCAAUCUAUAAAUAGAAAUAGAUCAACUUCGAUAUAUUUCAAGCUGAACAACAGGGUUUCACAACUACUAUAGUUAUAGAUAUUCCAUUAAGAAUUAUUGCCUUGUUUGAUGUGUUUACCAGGAUCAACUUCAGUUGCAAGGGUAAUUUCUCUUCUCUUGUUAAGUUACCUCUAUCUGGUUCGCUCUGAUCGGUUUUUGCUUUUCUUUUUCUUUUUUUCAUUUCUCUUUUUGUUGCAUUCAGGGUUGGUGCUUGUUCUAGCAGUUAAGGCAACAACCGGGUUUUGAUCUUCUUUAUAUAGACUGUGUUGCUGCUGUUUUUGCUGAUUGGAGAUGUCCUGCUCUUUUUCCUUCUACUUGGCAUCUGGGUUUAGUCUGAGGUCUCUAGUAUGUUUUAUCAGGGAGGCGUAAAUGCUGAUUCUCAUAGCAUUGAUCUUUCAUGCUGCUGAGACUGCUGGGAAGGUUGGUGUACUUAUGAUGGUCGCAACAUCCUUUUUGUUUCUGGAUCUCAGGAAUUGGAUUCCGUGGGCUGCCUUUGGCUUUUGAUGUGGGGUGGGUCUUGUUUUGUUGAUUUGUUGAGGCUGGUGCAGUGUGGUGGUGGGUUUGAAGCUGCUAGUAUGCUGCUGCUGGGUCAAUGUCGAUGAGAUAUGGAAAUGCUUUUGGCUCUUUGGGCUUCUGCUGGUUGAUUAUGUUUCCCCUGCUUACACAUGUAUUAUCACCAGAUCCUAUGUGAAGAUGGGAUGGAUUGUUUUAAUAAUGAUGGUGUGUGUGUGAUAUAAUCCCAUCAACAUAGCCACAUGCUUUGGUUCAUAUACCCGAGCACCACUUACUUCCUUGAGUUUGAUAUCCCACUGCCAAGUGUGUUGUCCAUAAUGUUGUAGGAAGAGUGUAAAUAAUUUUUAUUUUUAUUUUUGGGAAUUAUUUUUAAUUUAUUUUAUUUUAUUCUAUUAGUCUUAUAUUUUUGGAAAGUGUUCUAUUGAGAAUUAUUUUUUUUUUUUAUCAUUUUUUAUUUUAUUUUAUUAGUGUUAUAUUUUUGGAAAGAGUCCUAUUGGGAUUGUGUAAGUGGAGUCUCAUUCAUUUUAUAAGUAGAUUCCUCUUCCACUUUGUAGUUUCCUAUUAGGACUGUGUUAGUAACCUAUAAAAGCAGGUCACCUCUCUCUCUAUAUGAAUACCAAAUUUUCAGAGAGUUUUCAAAGAGUAUUUUCAUACAUCUAUUUGGAGGAAUUUAUUAAAAACCCGAGUUGUACAUAUAUCGCUUUCAGAGUGCAUCCAAGGUGAGAUUUGGUUGUUGAAUCCUGGAGUUAGACCACUGGUACCCUAGUGCACUGAGUUUGUCUUAGAGGAAGGUGGAUCUAUUUCAAAGACAGUGCUUGUCACGCCUCAGCUAAUAAGUUUUUCUUUUUACUCAUUUUGUUCUUUAUUUGUGUCUUUUGGGCUAGUCUUUUGUUUCCAUACCCUUAAAAUCCAACAAUCUUGAAAUAUAUCCAAAUGGAAGCUUCCCUAGUUCACACUUGUCCUGACACCUCUCAAAUUGAUAAUUUCAAUGGGACUUUCUUUUAGGAAAAGGGUUUUCUCUAAAAUUGAUGUGAUGAACUUGGGACACAUUUUGACUGACCCAAAACCAGAAGAUGGUUCUCAUCUGUUACCAACCUAGGAAACUGGAAAUAAACAAGUUAGGCAUGAUAUUUUGAGUAUCCUUUCUAAUGAACUUUUUGAUAUUUAAUGUCAAUUUAAAGUUGCAAAAGAAAUUUGGAAUGCAAUGAAUAAAAAAUAUAUUUUGGAAGAUGCAGAAACUCAGAAAUAUGCCAUAGGGAAUUUUAGAAAUUUUCAAAUGACUGAGGAUAGAGAUGUAUCAUCUCAAAUCCAUGACUACCACUUGAUGAUUAAUGACUUAGCUAUUGAAGACAUUAAAUUACCCGAACCUUUCGUGGCUGGUUAUUUAGUAGAGACUCUUCCAGAGUCUUGGAAAGACUAUAGAAAUAACGUGAAACAUAAAAGGAAACAAUUGUCCUUAAAGGAUGUCAUAAUCCAUAUUAGGAUUGAGGAACAAAACCGAAAUAGUGACAAUAUUGAGAAAACUAAGGAAUUGUCUUCUAAGGCUAAUGUAGUAGAAGAAAAACCUAAACCCAAAAACAAUAGGUCCAGGAAACAAAACUCUAGGACCAAGCCCAAUGCAUCAAACAAGGUUUAGAACUCAACUAUUAAAAAAUGGGGUAAUUGCUUUACCUGUGGCAAGUCUGGACACCAUGUAGCUUAAUAUCGCCACAGGAAGAGAACCGAGAAGUCCAAUUCAAAGGCAAAUCUGGAGACAAAGGUGAUCACAACAAUAAUCUUCUUUGAGGUGAGCAUGGUCACCAAUAUGAAGGACUAGGUGGUAGACUCUGGGGCUACUAGGCACAUAUGUGGGAAUAGAAGUGCAUUUACUUCCUAUACCACUACAAAGGAAGGAGAUGAACAAGUGUUCAUGGGUGAUUCUAGAUCUACUCCAGUGAUUAGAAAAGGGAAAGUUCUCCUCAAGCUAACCUCUGGAAAAUUGUUUGCCCUCUAUGAUGUUCUUCAUGUGCCAGAUAUCCGUUGGAACUUGGUGUCGGUAUCUAUGCUUGGAAAAGCAAGAGUGAGGAUCUUGUUUGACUCUGAUAAAAUAAUUUUAACCAAGAAUGAUGCAUUUGUGGGAAAUGGCUAUGUAAUCAAGGUUUAUUUAUGUUGAAUGUUUAGGAUAUUAUCAAUAAUAAUGCAUCUUUUUCUUUUGCUUACAUAGUUGAUUCUUGUGACAUUUAGCAUGGUAGACUAGGACAUGUGAACUUUUCAUUUAUGAAGAAAAUGGUUGAAUUGAGUUUAAUCCCUAAACCGUCCUUAGAAAACCAUGGAAAAUGUGAAUCUUGUGUAGAAUCUAAAAUCACAAAGGAAUUUUGCAAAUUAGUUGAAAGAGAAUCAGAUCUACUAAGUUUACUACAUAGUGACUUAGGAGACCUAAAAAAUAUAAUGACUAGAGGUGGUAAACAAUUCUACAUAACUUUCAUAGAUGACUACUCAAGGUAUACAAGGUUAUAUCUUUUGAGAAACAAAGAUGAAGCAAAAGAUGUUUUCAUCAAAUACAAAAAUGAAAUGGAAAAUAAACUAAGUAAGAAAAUUAAAAGACUUAGAACUGAUAGGGGAGGAGAGUAUGAGUCCAACCCCUUUAAUUCUUUUUGUGAAGAUCAUGGGAUCAUUCACAAAACUACUCCUCCUUAUUCCCCUGAGUCUAAUGAGUAGUAGAAAGGAAAAAUAAGACCUUAAAAGAAAUGAUGAAUGCAAUGUUGGUAAGUUCAGGAGCACCCUUGAACUUGUGGGGGAAAGUUAUCCUAUCCGCAUGUCAUAUUCAAAAUAGAAUACCUUACAAGAAAAUGGGUAAAACUCCUUAUGAGUUGUGGAAGGGUUAUGCACCUAAUAUAGCAUACCUAAAAGUGUGGUAGCUAAAGUUCUUCUCCCUGAACUUAAAAAACGAAAACUAGGUCCUAAAACCUUUGAUGCAAUGUUCAUUGGCUAUGCUGAGAAUAGUGUGGCAUAUAGGUUUCUUGUUACUAAGUCAGAAAACAAUCUUGUAAAUGUCAAUACUAUAAUAGAAACAAAGAAUGCAAAUUUCUUUCAAAACAUCUUUCCUAUGAAACUAAAUGGUGAACAAGUCUAGAAAACAAGUAGAUACAAGUCUAUUGAACCUUCUGAACUUGAACCUAGAAGAAGUAAAAGAGCUAGGAAAGAAACAAACCUUGGAAAUGGUUUCUACACCUUCCUAAUAGAUGAGGACCUUAAAUCCUACAAAGAAGCUAUAACUUCUCCUGAUGCACCAUUCUGGAAGGAGGCCAUUAACAGUGAAAUCGAUUCAAUCAUGUAUAACCAUAUAUGGGAGUUGGUAGAUUUACUUUCUGGUGCAAAGACUAUUGGUUGUACGUGGAUUUUUAAAAGAAAGUUAAAACAAGAUGGCUCUAUAGAGAAGUAUAAAGCUUGUUUAGUUGCCAAAGGCUUUAAACAAAGGAAAUAUGUAGAUUACUUUGACACCUUUGCCCCUAUGACUAGAAUAGCAUCAAUUAGAGUAUUGAUUGCUCUAGCUCCCGUUCAUAAGUUGGUGGUACACCAAAUGGAUGUCAAGACUGCAUUCUUAAAUGGGGAUUUGGAAAAGGAAAUUUAUAUGGAUCAACCUGAGGGUUGUGUAAUUCCAAGGAAGGAGAAAAAGGUGUGUAAAUUGGUUAAAUCACUAUAUGGGUUAAAACAAGCUCCUAAACAGUAGCACAACAAGUUUGAUCAUGUGUUAGUAACUAAUGUAUAUUCCAUUAAUAAUGCUGAUAAGUGUAUCUACAACAAGUAUGAGGAUAACACAUGUGCAGUCAUCUGCCUUUAUGUUAAUGACAUGCUGAUCUUUGGAACUAGCCUAAAGGUUGUGUGUGAGACCAAGAAAUUCGUAUGUUCUAAGUUUGAUAUGAAAGACCUAGGAGAGGCAGAGGUGAUUCUAGGAAUUAAAAUAACUAGAACACCUAAUGGGCUUAAACUUUCUUAAGAGCACUAUGUUGAGAAGAUCCUAAGGAAGUUUGAACACUUUGAUUGUAAACCAGUGUCAACUCCUUAUGAUCCCAUCUCACAGCUGAAGAAAAUAGAGAUAUGCUCAGAUCAUAGGGAGCCUAAUGUACUUAAUGAACUGUACCAAACUUGACAUUGCUUAUACAAUAGGUAAAUUGAGACAGUACACCCAAAGUCCUAAUCAAGACCAUUGGAUUGUUGUUCGUAGAGUCCUUAAGUAUUUGAGAGGCACCAUUAACUACGAUUUGUGCUUUAGUGGAUUUCCAAGUUUCCUUGAAGGAUUUAGUGAUGGAAAUUGUAUAUCGGAUUCAAAUGAGAUGAAAUCUAUUAGUGGAUAUGUUUUCAUCCUUGGUGGAAGUGCAGUUUCUUGGAAGUCUGCCAAGCAAACUUGCAUUACUCGGUCUACUAUGGAAGCUAAGUUUAUUGCCUUAGAAAAGACAAGUUCUGAGGUUGAGUGGCUUAGAAACCUCUUAGUAGAUAUCCCUUUAUGGACGAGACCAACCCCGUCUAUGUCUAUGCAUUGUGAUAGCCAAGCUACAAUUGCUAAGGCUAAGAGUAAAAUAUUAAAUGGGAAAAACAAACAUACGCCUAAGGCACAAUAUUGUGCGGCAGAGGCUUGAAACAAGGGUUAUAUCCCUAGAAUUUGUGAGGUCAAAGUUGAACUUGGCCUAUCCUUUGACCAAACCACUAAAUAAGAAACUAGUGGAAGAAACAUCGAGGGGAAUGAGACUUAUGCCUUUUACAGAAGUCAAGAGUGGUGGUAGCCCAACCUAUUAGAAUGGAAAUUCCAUGAAAUAGGUUCAUAUAGGUAAUAACAAAUCACUUGUUGACUUGAGGUGCUCUAUCAACUCUAAUUGUAUGAGAGUCCAUCCCUAUGGUGUAGAUAAAGUGUAUUCUGCAUUGACUAAGGUUGAGUGUUUACUCUUAAUGAAUAUCAUAUUCCUUAUGGAUGGUAUGUUUAAAUGCAGAACAUACUUGAUGGAUUCACCUAUAUGAGAGUAGAGGUGGGGCCGCUUCCUAUGAGAACUUAGGCAGGUUCUCUAGAGCUCUCAUGAAUAUCCAGGUAGGGUGCAUGGCCUAUUUGUGCCAACCCAUUUUGUACAACUCGUAGUGUAGUUGAGAAAACCAAUGUGGAUAAAAGUCUCUUGAGUUAUAUAAAGAAACACUGGUUCAUAGAAAUUUAUUUUCACCAUGUUUUGUGAUUCAAUACUUAUUUGUCCUAAGACUGGUUCAUAUUCUUUGGGCACUAGUACUGAUGCAUUGGAUUCUUUUUUCCUAAAAAAAAAAAACUAUGUUUACACUCUGUGGGGGAUUAUCGGAAGAGUGUAAAUAAUUUUUAUUUUUAUUUUUGGGAAUUAUUUUUAACUUAUUUUAUUUUAUUUUAUUCUAUUAGGCUUAUAUUUUUGGAAAGUGUUCUAUUGAGAAUUAUUUUUUAUUUUAUUAUAUUUUAUUUUAUUCUAUUAGUGUUAUAUUUUUGGGAAGAGUCCUACUAGGAUUGUGUAAGUGGAGUCUCAUUCCUUUUAUAAGUAGAUUCCUCUUCCACUUUGUAUAAUCUUCUAAUUACAAGUAGUUUCCUAUUAGGACUGUGUUAGUAGCCUAUAAAAGUAGGUCACUCCUCUCUCUAUUUGAAUACCAAAUUUUCAGAGAAUUUUCAGAGAGUUUUAGGGAGCAUUUUCAUACAUCUAUUUGGAGGAAUUUAUUAAAAACCCGAAUUGUACACAUCUCGCUUUCAAAGUGCACCCAAGGCGAGAUUUGGUUGUUGAAUCCUGGAGGUAAACCACUGGUACCCUAGUGCACCAAGUUCGUCUUUGAGAAGGGUGGAUCUAUUUCAAGGACAAUGUUUGUCACGCCUCAGCCGAUAAGUUUUUCUUUUUACUCAUUUUGUUCUUUAUUUGUGUCUUUUGGGCUAGUCUUUUGUUUCCAUACCCUUAAAAUCCAACAAAUGUUAUGUUGUGUAAACAAGUUUCACCCAUUGUGGAUUGAAAUGUUUAACAUUUGAGGUUGUUAAUGGUGAUUUUUCUUGUUAUAAUUGUUAUAAUUGUGAGAAAAACAUUGACAAUUAUGUCAUUUUUCAUUUGGGAGUAUUUAGAUCUCCAAACAGCAACUUGACUGAACAUGACCGCAAAAUUCAUCCACUACCACCACUUUCCUCCACCUGCAACUCUUCAAAUCCAACAUGUACGGCACGUAGGCUUCACCAAAGCUUUUGCAACCAAUCACUAACAACUUCCCCUCCCAUGUUGUCAUGUAAGCUGUGUGGCGAAUCUCAGCUAGCAUCUUGGCUACUGUCUGCCAUCAGGAGUUCUGCAGUGCCACCACCUUACCAGCAUGGCACAUGUACAUCCCCAUAUCACCACCGUCCACGCAGGUUCUCGGGCAUGUGCUGGCUUCCAGGAAAUCCUCCUCUACAUUGUCCCACUGCCAGUUGGCAAAAUCAAAGGCUUCUGCGCUCCUCUUGAACCUGCCUUGCAUCUCUAUGCAGUACCUGCCAAUGACAUGGAACUUACCACGGUGGAAAAACUAUUUGCAUUCAUCGCGCUCCCUUGCCAUGUCAUGAAGCGGGCCCACUCAUCAUUUGCCACGUCAUACACCAACGCAGGCCUCAAUUCGUCACACAUCAAAAUAAUCAAAAUUCAUAAUGCAACCUCCAAAAUACAUUUUAUCAUUUGCCUUCUCAUCCCCAAAAAUUCAAAAUAAAAAAUUCCACAUAAUCAAUACUUUAGUGACUAUUAUAUUUUUCAUGUUUUGGAUUUUAAUUCUUUUAAUUCAUUCUAUCUUCAUUAUUUAAGCCCAAGUUCUACUAUUAGUAAAAAUAAACUAAUAUAUAUAUAUAUAUAUAUAUAUGUAUGUAUACUUUGGUGACUUGCAUGGAGGUUAGCAACUGCACUACUCUAUCACAUGGCCCAUGAAAGAUAGGUAGAUGUGAUGAAUCGAUCAAGUUUUGGAAUCCUAGUCCUUGCUAAUGGGGGACAUAAGGCACAUGGAUGAUUUGGAAGAGAGGUGCUGAUGGGGUGCUUUCUACUGAGUCUCUCCUUGAGAAUCCAACUCUCUUUGCUAGAUUCCAGACUGUUGAAUGGGCUCUGGGUGGUGAAAAAGGCAAUUGAUGGGUCAAAGCCAAAUAAGCCUUUCCACCAUCACCACUAACAAAACCUACACCUUUGCAAUAUGGGCCACACUUUGCAGGCCACCUUUGGCAUGCAAUCCCACUUCCACAUUUCAUCCUUUUUAAUUCUUCAUAUUUUGAUAUCAAAGUUUAAUUUUCCAAAUUUUCAAUUUUCAAAUUUAAUUUCCAAAACUUCUAUUUUCAAAUAAUUGUCCAAAAUUCUGAUUUUCAAAUAAUUUUCAAAACUUCAAUUCCUUAAUUUAAUCUUCAAAACUCCAAUUUCUUUCAAAAUUAAUUUUCAAAACUCCAAUUCUUAAAUUUAAUUUUUAAAACUUCAAUUUUCAAUUAAUUUUCAAAACUCCAAUUCUUAAAUUUAAUUUUUUUAAACUCCAAUUUUCAAAACUCCGAUUUCUUUCAAAAUUAAUUUUCAAAACUCCAACUCUUAAAACUAAUUUUCAAAAUUCCAAUUCUCAAUUAAUUUUCAAAACUUCAAUUUCUUUCAAAUUUAAUUUCCAAAAUUCCAGUUCUUAAAUUUAAUUUUCAAAACUCUCAUUCUCAAAUAAUUUUUUAAAUUUUAAAUUUUUAAAUUUAAUUUUCGAGACUUCAAUUUUCAAAUAAAUUUUAAAACUAUAGUUUUCUUUCAAAUAGUUUUAAUUCCACUCCAAUUUUCAAUUAUUUUUUAAUUCUACAACAUUUCAUCCUUUAUUAGGGUUUUAGGUCAAAAAAUCUCGUUUUUAAUAAACUUGCUACAUUUCCCUUCAGGUAAGAACUUUUAUAAAUUUUCUUUGAUUUUUCAGAUAAUCUUUCGUUUCUCUUGAUUUUAAAUAAGCAUGAAGACAAUUUUCAUAAUUAAAAAACAAUGGAAUUUGUGGGAUUAAUUCAUGCAAAAAUCAAUCGAGCUUUGAUGGGGACCCAACAUUCAUAAGAUUUUUUUUGAAAAUAAUUCAAGUGAAUUGCAUAAUUGAUAUUGUUCGAUUUUGAUUGGUUUUGUGUGACAUGUUUUACACUUAUCAUUAUGCACUAACCCCGUUUCAUUGAUAGCACAUCUUUACUUGUUACUAAGGUACGAUCUCACUUCCACUUCACUUAUUCUCAUGCAUGAUUCAUUUUAUUAUUUGAUCAUUUUAUUGGUAUCCAUUGAUUUUCUUAUCCAUUGUCACACUUGCUUCACCUUAUUUGGUAGGGACCUGUUUUUAGGGACUUAGAGGGGUGCUAUGGUCUUUUUACUGUAUCUUCCCAAUAAGUAACUUGACCAUCGGACCCGACUUGAUUUUUCAGACCUGUUUUUUCAAAUAAGGAGUCACACUUAGGGUUUUCUUUCUUAUUUUGUUUUCCCUUUAAAAAUAAAACAAAAAUAAGUGGCGACUCCAAGUCUUUUCUAAAAAUCAUAUUUUUCACCAAAUAAAUAAAAAACGAGUUUUGUCAUCGAGUGGGAACACAUCGAGCAAAAAUACGGGUUCCACAACAUGCUUCCAAGCUUUGAAAAUGCUAAAGGAUUCAAGUAGAGAUGAAAAUGAGACAAGUUCAGGAUGAGUCAACCUCAUUCCAAUCCCACCCCAUUAAUUGAUAAUAUUUUUCAUCCUUGUUUCAUUAAAAAAAAAAAAAAUUAAAAGGGAUGGGAUAGAGCAAAUUGAAAAAUUUUCAAUUAUAUUAAAAUAAAAAUAUAUUUUAUAAAUAAUUAAAAUAUUAUCAUUUUUUAUAACUUAUUUUAAAAGUAUUUUACUAUUAUUAUAUAUAUUAAAAAUAGGAAAUAAAAAUUAAAUUAAAUGUUAAACUUAAUUUUAUAUAUAAUUGAAGUGAGACCUACGACACAAAAUAAUACUUGAACCCAUCCCAAACUCGUCUCGAAUUUAAAAAAAAAAAAAUUAAACUUAUCCAUUGUUUAUUUAAAUUUCAAACCUAUUUUAUUAAAAACGAGACAGGGAUGAGUGCUUGAAAAAAACUCAUCUCAUUGCCAUCCUUAAACUCAAGAAAUAAAAAUUUAAAUUCUAAAAGGAAAUGUCCAUUCUUAAUAUCAUCAUUGAAAACAAAUUACUUAAGCCUAUCAAACAUCCAAGUCAGCAGGAUUUAUUCCUAAGAAAAAAUGAUGCUCAAUUCUAGUUAUCGUGGAAUGAGCCACUUUCCCGGUAAAUGGAAAUUACCCAAUAUUUCAUUAAAGUGAAAUCUCUUAUCGAAAAGUUAAAAUUAAUUAGUAGAGAUUGAAACAGCCAUUAUUAUUCAUAGUUUAUAGCUCAAAUAUAAUGAGUCUAUUUCUGUAAUUGGAGGAAUGACCAAUUUACUAUUGAAAACCAAUUCAAAUAAUAGAUAUUCAAAUAUAAGCGCUUCAUUUAUUGUUUACUAUUGAAAAACCGAUAAUUCUAUAUAUCAUUGAAAAAUGCAAUUCAAUGCUUUCAUGUACAAUAUAAUAUAGUGCUGAUGAAGGCAAGCAUAAAAUCAUGGAGACAGGGUCUGGAGCCAAGACUAAAGGGGCAUCAAUACGCGUCUUUGUCAAGAAGGGAGAAAUCAAAGAAAUGGUGGAGCCUAUACAUUGAAUUAUUGACAGAAUUUUGUGGGGACCCAUAUCGAGAAAAAUAUUCUUUCAAUAUAUAUAUAGAUAUUUUAUAUUUUUUAAUUCUAAAUUAAUUUUUAUGUUGGGAAAUUGAUACGAGGGAAGAGUAGUUGUGAGUAGAAUUAUUAAAGUUGUAUAAACAAGUGGCAAUCUUGAUACGUGAGAAUGAUAAAAAUUAUACAAAUUUUAGCAAGUUUGGGUAAGGUAUCAUUAUAUUCGAGUAAUAAUCAUGUCAACUUGUAUAACUUAUUUAAAGUAUUUAAAGACAUUUAUGAGACGGAUUUGCAUUGUCUAAUUUUAGUUCUUAUUGAAGAACAAAUUACUAUCAAUUUCACGAGGACAAAAUUAUAAUUAGUCAAAUUAUUUGAAAGUGAAAUCUUAAAAAUAAAAACUUUCAAUUAAAUUCGAAAACUAAAACUAUUAAGUAAAGAGUUAAAAAACUAUCGAGCAGAGCUUAAAAUUCAAAUAUAAUGCAUUUAUUGUUGUAAUUCAAGCCAAAUAUUUAUUAUUGAUUAUUAUAAAUAUAAUUUUAUAUCCAUUUUUUAUAUUUAAGAUAAUUUAGCACAUUUGAACAAUAUUUUGAGAAUAAGAUUGGAGCAUCUAAUUUGACUAAUUGGAUAGCAAAUCAAACUAAUCAAAUCUUAUUUUCAUAUUUAUCCACCUUCAAUUCUAAGAUAAAUAUGAACAAAAGUCUUUAUAUGUUUAUAACAAUAUAAACAAUAUAAACACAAAAAUAAUGAGUAUAACAUUAAAUAACAAAAAAUUUAUUUCAGCCUUGGAUAUAUUAUUAUAUACGUUAUAUAUAUGUUAGUAAAAUUGGAAAUAUUAAUACAUUCAGUAUAUUAAAUAAUAAAAUUACAAGUUUUUUGUUAUUAUUCAUAUUUAAUUAAUAAAUUUUAAUUAAAUCUAAAAUAAAAACUUUUACACAAAUUAGUAUAAAACCAAGUGUGGUCAUUAUAAAUCAACCCUAUAAAAAAGACUUAAAUCUAUAGAAGUCUAAGUAAAUAAAUGAGAAAUAAUGUUAAAAGAUAUGUAUAAAAAAAAGAAUCAUUGUUUAGUAUCUUGAUUAUUUAUAUAAUUUUAACUUCGUGUAUUAUUUUAAAUUUUAAUAAUAUAUGAAUUAUAUAUGCAUAUUGUCAUGCUGAUAUCAUGUUUCAAUUACUUGAACCAUCGGUUCAAUAAAAUAAAAAACUCUAAUGUAAUAAUUUUUCAAUUUAGUGACUAAUUAAUAAGAUUUUCAUAAUAUCGUAUUUGAAAUUUCAACACAAAAAAUGAAUAUGAAAAAUCAUAAAACUCUUACAAAGAAAAGUGACUUCAUGAAAAUAUGGAAACCCUAAACCUUAAUUUCUUCAAUAAUGCCUAUCAAAAUUCUUAUGUUUAGGCAAUAUUAUGAGAGAACCAAUAAUCUCAUCCACAAAUCCAACAUAGUCAAUGGUCAAUUCUUAUGUUUACGAGAUAUAUAUACCUUGUAUAGUUUAUGUAUCUUUUGGAAAGUCAUGUAUAUAUUUAAAUGUUGUAAUGUAUAUCUUGAAUAAUAUACUUUUGACCAUUCAUUUAUUCAAUACUCUUGUAAAGAAAAAUGACUUUAUGAAAAUGUGGAAACCUCAAACCUCAAUUUCUUCUAUAAUGCUUAUUAAAAAUUUUGCAAUUGAAAGUUGUGUAAUCAAGGAAGCUAACAAUGCAAGGUUAGAACUAGCCACUCCUAACCAGACUUAUUCUUCUACAUAUGCCCAUCUUCAUCUCAAGUCAGUUUACUUUUCUAUUUUAAGAAAAUUAAUUAUUAUUUUUAUUUUCAUGUAUUGAAAAAAGUAAAAGAAAAAAUAAGAUUAAGCACUGUUAAACCUCAAUCAAUCUCGACAUAUAUGUGAGAAGAUAAUUUAAAAGUGUAUUUGACAAUAUUUUAUUUUGAAGUAUUUUUAAUUUUAAUAAAAGUAUUUUUUUUUAGAAAUGAUUUUGAGAUAAUUUUAAAAAAUGUUUUUAGUUUUUCUAAUACUUGAAAAAUAAAAAAAUUUAAGUGUUAAAAAUAUUAAAAAUAUUUCCUAAAAUCACUAUUAAAUGUACUUUAAGUGUUUCUUCAAAAAGUACCAUAAAUAAUAUUUCGUAUGUUUAAAAAUGUUUUCUGAAUUUUAUUAAAUACUUGAUUUUUCUUAAAAAAUAUUUUUUAAGCUAGAAGUGAUUUUUAAAAACACUAUUAAAUGGCCCCGUAAGUCUUAAAAUAAAAUCCGCAUAAGACUACUACAUGGACCUUCAAUGAGUCUUUGUCUCAUAAUAAAUAUUUUGUUAUGUUCACAUGUAGAAGGGACAAAUAAUACUUAAAAACUAAAAAUCAUAUACAAUAGAAAGUGUGGAAGCAAGAAGGAAUAGAGUAGAAGUUGCGAAGUGAUGGAGCCUUGGGUAAAAUAAAAUUAAUAACGGCAUUAUCAUGGGAGAAUUGUGUUUUGAGCUUAGCUGGUCCCAAAAAUUAAGUUCUAGUCCAUGUAACUUACCUAAUUAAUGGAAAGGAUAUCAAAUAUUAACAGACCAAUAUGCCCUUUACAUUUCCAACUCAAAUGGUUGUAAAUUAAUGGGUUUCACAGCAAUUAAACUUGAAAUGUCAUGUCACCUGAUUGAAAAUUAUGAAAUAAAGGCCAUAAGGGUCACCACCCUCCUACCCCUUUCUCUCUCUCCGUAAACAACAUACUCACAAACGAUGAUGACUGUGACUGCCCCCCAAUCGGUUUUUUCAGCAACCAAGGAUUGUGAGCAUUUUAGAAAAGCCUUUGUAGGUAUUUUAUCAUCAUCAUUCCCAAAUCCAAGGGAUGGGGGGUUUGAAUUAUUUUCUCACGUUUUGAUUUAAUCAGGUUGGUUCUUUGAUGAUGUGUUGGAUAUUUGUUUACUGGGUCAUUACAAGGUUUUAGGAAAGGCAAUUGUUUUGAUCUCGUGUUAGGGUGUUUAAAAAAAAUUUGAACUUAAUAACAUAGCGUUUUUGGAUGUAGGGUGGGGGAUAAAUGAGGUUUUGAUCAUAUCCAUCUUGGCUCAUAGGAAUGUAUCACAACAUAAAUAAAUUCAAGAAACUUACAGUGAAUCUUAUGGAAAAGAUCUCCUCAAAAAUGGCAUUUCACCUGUCUGAAAAAUUUUCACUUUAGCAUUUGCUUGUUGGGUUUAUCGUCCAAAGAGAAGAAAUGGGUAUCAUCCAAAUGCUGAGCUUUGGGGAAGAAGAUUCUCCGGUGAUGAUGCAAUUCAUCCAUAAUAGCUAUCCUUCGAAUCAAACAUAUUUCAAAAGCAGAGAAGUUGGUCCACCCGACGAAACGAAGAAAAUGAAUAACUCCAAUGAAGAUAUAAAGCGGCUACAAUUGUGGUCGUGAUGAUGGCAGUGGCCCAACAACCUCCUGUGAAUAUGGAAAUAUGCUAAAUAGGGUAUAUGCCCUAUUUUGGGGUAAGUAUAUUUUCUAGAAUUCGAACCUAGGUUGAUGGAGGAUUGAGUGUGUUUUUAUUAUGUUUAGGGAUGAAUUAUGACAUUUAUAUUUGUGAAAAUUAUUCUGCUAUGAUCCAAAGCACAACCCUAUUAAUUAUAUGAUUGAAACUCCUUUAUGUUUGAGUAGAAGAUUAAUAAUAUGAUUGAGAAAACAAAGGCUAUGCUUAAUUAAGAAAAACACUCAAAAGGGGGGGGGGAGGGGGGUGAAUUGGGUUUUUUAAAAUCUUUUCAACACAACAAUUUCAAGCACAAUAUAAACAAAAAUAAAGAAAUAGAGUUAUAGAAUUCAAACUCGGGUUUUAUAGUGGUUCGGCACUUCCUUGCCUACGUCCACUCUCCUUAAUCUCCUAACCGAGUGAGGCUUCCACUAACUUGAAGCUUCAACCAAGCUUCCAAUAUUCUUACACUUGGAUUCUGACUCCAAUGGGCUCUUACACAAUCUCUUCAAGAUUCAAACCUCUUGAAGGCUUUAACACUCAGUUUUUACAAGAAUGAAUCACUCAACCUAACUCAAAGAUAGCUCAAAUACAAAACAAAGAUAAGAUGACUCACAAGAGCGCACUAAAGGAUAUGCAAGUGAUGAUUUAAUGCAUUAAGAAGGAAAUGAGAGCUUUUUGGUUAAGAACAGGUAGGUAGAAAAUUGAAUUCAAGUGUUCUCUCUAUCGUAAAUGAAGCAGAGCUCUUAAUUUAUAGGUUUCUAAGCUCGGGAGCCAAAAACAGCAAAAGAUAGCCUUAAUCGAUUGAACUGAGGGUCGAUCGUAUCACUAGCCGUUGAGCAUUUAAUGCUUUGAUAGGUUACCGUUACCUCAAUCAAACCUCGACCGGACAUCAACUAGAGGUCGACCAGGAAUAGGAGAACCUCAAUCAGGAAGAGGAGGCUAUUGGAUGAGAGAGAGUGUUUUUGGCACCCCUUGACUGGACCUCGAUCGGACAAGGGCAACCAGUCGACCGGUUCCCCAACCGAUUGAGCCGGUUGGCCAUAGCCUAGACCGGUUCAGCCUUUUGGCCCCGAAAACCUACCUUUUUCAAUUCCUUUCUUUUCUAACUCUUAGGCAAGGUAUUUAGGUGAAUUAAUAUGCCAAUUUAAAACAUUUUGCCUAAGGUACAUUUGAUAAAACUCGGGUUUUAAUGAAAAUGAAAGUUUAAAUGAUAAACCGAGUUUUCAAAGAUGUAUGAAAUGGUAUGAAAAACUUAAGUGCACCCAUGCAUUCAUCUUACAUUCUUUUCCUAUUAUCAAAAGUCUUCCAAAAGUCUCGGUCUUGUAUCAAUUUGGUCAUUUGAUAAAUUUCUGAAUCUAUACCUAAGAUUCUUUACCAUUCAAAUCAAUUAGUCACUUAACCAUGGUUUGUUAUCAUCAAAACCCGAUUAGGAGAACCCUUGGGCUAACAAUAUGACUAGUAGUUAGGGAACAAAUUGAUACUUUAGUUUUUCCUUAUUUUAUGAACCAAAAGAUUGCAUACAUGAUUAACCUAUGCAUGAGCAGACAUUCAGUAGUGGUUGUGUGGAAGUUAUGUCUCUGUACAAGACAUUUACAUUAAGUGUACAAGGUACAUGUGCUUACUGUACAAGAGUGUACAAAGGUAACUAUGUUGAAGGAUUUGCAAUCCUUUUAAAAUCAUUUCCAUUUUGAAAGGAUGAAGAACAUUCUCUCACACAUUCCUUGAUCACACACUCAUCCCAUUCAAUUUUAUUACUUCAUACAUGUUCAUUGGAUGACCUACCACAGUAAUGAUGAAUAGGAACCUAUAUUGGGUUUCACUUCCCCCUUUUCCCUUAGGCAUUACAUUGGAACAUGGUAGCUCACCCAUAUGCACGCUUUUAGUUGUAGCUAUGUCAAAUUUUUGCCAUUGUAUAAGACAUUUACACUAAGAAUGUAAAUGUGCUAACUAUACAAGUGUGUACAAAGCUAUCUAUCUUGAAGGAUUUCAAAUGCUUUCGAAAAAAUUGUUUGCUCGUUUCUUUUUUCUAAGGGGGAUAUUCCACAUAGUCAUUCUUCAUUUCCCUUCGUACACAUUCAUUGUAUGAGCUAGCACACUUAUGAUGAAUAGAAACCUAAAUUAGGUUUCAUUUUCCCCAUUUUCACUCAGCCAUGACAUUAGAAUGUGGUUAACCCGCCCGUAUGCACUAGUUCAGUUGUAGGUAGGUCAAAUUUCUGCAAUUGUACAAGGCAUUUGCACCAAGUGUACAAGGCCAAUGUACUAAAUGUACAAAGGUGUACAAGGGUGUCUAUCUUAAGGGAUUUCGAGUGAUUUUGAAGAACUUACUUAUUUACUUUUUCUAAUCGUGGGAGACAUUCCUCACACGUAUUGCUUGAAAACACACUCAUUGCAUGCAUUUUAUUUGAUGUCUACCAUGUAACUUCAUUCUAUUAACUUCCCUAGUAAUUAUGAAUAUGAACCGAAAUGAGGGUAAACUUUUUUCUUCUUUUCUCUAAUCCAUGAGAAUGGAAACAUUGCUUACCCACCCAUUUGCACUCGUUCGGUUGUACCUAUGUGGGAUUUCAUGACUGUACAAGGCAUUUACACUAAGUGUACAAUGCAAAUGUGCUAACUAUACAAGUGUGUACAAGACUACCUAUCUUGAAGGAUUGUAAAUACUUCUGAAAAAAUUGUUUGCUCAUUUCUUUUUUCUAAGGGGGACAUUCCUUAUAGUCAUUCUUCAUUUUCCUUCGUACACAUUCAUUGUAUGACCUAGCGCACUUAUGAUAAAUAGGAACCUAAAUUGGGUUUCAUUUUCCUCCUUUUCACUCAACCAUGACAUUGGAAUGUGGCUAACCCGCCCAUAUGCACUAGUUCAAUUGUAGCUAGGCCGAAUUUUUGCAACUAUACAAGGUAUUUACACUAAGUGUACAAGGUCAAUGUACUAAAUGUAUUUUGGUUUUUUUUUUUUUUUUUUCAUAAUCAGCAAAGGCUAUUUUUGGAAAUAAUAAAAGUGCAUAUUCUCCUUCUCAAUUUUGACACUUCUUAAAGGUUUUGAGCUUAAAUAGUUUAGUUACAUGGACUAAAACACAAUUCUCCCCAUUAUCAUGUGUGUCUCAUUGUUGGAUGGACCAAAUUUCGCUUCUCCCAAAGAUCUUUGAAUAUUAUAAUGAGAGCCCACUUGAUGCUUCCAAAAAUAUAUUUGCAGGUGGACUCCAUCUGUCAAUCCAUUAACCUAUACAAUAUUAAAAAUCCACUUGAUGUUAUUUAGGAAAAUUAUUUUAUUUUGUUGGUGAUGGCCUGUCUUCCAUCUUACUCAAGUUUCAACUCUAAGACUUUUCAAAUUAACAAAGUGCAGUGCAGUGCAAUGAUUCAUUUUUCUUCUUUCCUCUAUCUUUGGCUCAACUUCAGUCCUUUUUUUCCUUUGAUUUCCCGGAAAGCUAUGGAGUUCCUGAGCUCAAUCGUGGGUCUGGUCCUCUGCUUCUAUGAUCACACCUCCAAGCAUACGGUCUACAUUUGCGAUCUGAAAAAAAAUCUCCAAGCCUUGAGCAAGGAAAUGGUGGAUCUCAACAACUUGUGUGAAGAUGUGAAGACAAGGGUUGAACGGGCAGAGCAACGACAGAUGAUGCGCACAAAGAAAGUGGGUGGGUGGAGACUGUGGGCUCAGAAUUCACGUAUGACAGAAUCUGUAGGUUUCUCAACGAUCAACAAGUGGGAAUUAUGGGAUUAUAUGGAAUGGGGGUGUGGGCAAAACCACCCUCUUGAAGAAAAUCAACAAUGACUUCCUCACUACAUCCAACGAUUUUGAUGUUGUGAUUUGGGUUGUGGUGUCAAAACCGUCCAACAUUGAAAAAAUUCAAGAAGUUAUUUGGAAUAAAUUACAAAUCCCACGUGAUAUAUGGGAAAUUAGAAGCAGUAAGGAGGAGAAGGCUGUAGAAAUAUUGAGAGUUCUGAAAACAAAGAAGUUCGUGUUGUUGUUGGAUGACAUCUGGGAGUGACUUGAUCCGCUAGAAAUGGGGGUCCUGCAUCCCGAUGCUCGAAAUAAGUCCAAGAUAGUUUUCACGACCCGGUCACAAGACGUGUGCCACCAAAUGAAAGCUCAUAAGAGCAUAGAAGUGGCGUGUUUGUCGUCGGAAGCGGCUUGGACUUUGUUCCAGAAGGAGAUAGGAGAAGAAACAUUGUCUCAUCCACAUAUACUGAGGCUUGCAAAAACUGUUGCUGAAGAGUGCAAAGGUUUAC
rnacentral:lncRNA from 1 species